rnacentral:scRNA from 1 species
GGGAGGGACGGUGAUAUCGUGCAGGGAAUACCAA